CUUAACCAAGCUAUCCUUAUGCCAUGACGACCCACCUUUUAUACCUGAUAACUUUUGUUAUAAUAAAGGGACAAAAACUUUAAGUUCAAAUAACCCCAGGGAUGGGAAAUUUUGAAAAAAAAGCUUACCUUCCAAGUGAGGGGUUAACCUUUGGAUCCAGGAUAGCUGGUUUUCAGGAAAAGAAUUUUAGUUUUACCUUAAGUUUCUUCAUUCCUAUAAAAACCCUAUAGGCUUAAGAGCUAUUCAAAUAAGGCCCAGCUUAUUGAAAAAGGAUCCACCCUAGUCCAAUGGGUAAGAUACAACAUACUUGUCCUAAGUGGGCCUGAAAGCAGCCACCUUUUAAAAAGCGUUAAAGCUUAAUAUUACCUUUACUCACCAAUUCCAACAUUCCCUACGAACCCUUAUCUACAACUGAAUAAUUCUAUAAUACUAUAGAAGAUAUAAUGCUAAAACUAGUAACAAGAAGUUGACCUUCUCCAAAAUGCAAGCAAAAACCUAAUCGGACCAACCAUUGGUUAAUAACGCCUAUGAACUAAAUAUAGUAACUCACUCUAGUAAACCCUAUAAAUAAAAGCGUUAACCUUACACAAGAGCAUUUCUGGAAAGAUUAAAAGAAAAAGAAGGAACUCGGCAAAUCCAGGCCUCGCCUGUUUACCAAAAACAUCGCCUCUUGACUUCCAUAAGAGGUCCAGCCUGCCCAGUGAUACUAUUAAACGGCCGCGGUACCCUAACCGUGCGAAGGUAGCAUAAUAACUUGUUCUUUAAAUGAGGACUAGCAUGAACGGCAUCACGAGGGUCUCACUGUCUCCUUUUUCUAAUCAGUGAAACUGAUCUCCCCGUGAAGAAGCGGGGAUAAAAAUAUAAGACGAGAAGACCCCAUGGAGCUUUAAACCCAAUAGACACCUCUGACUAAUCUAACCCAAAACACUUCUUAAGUUCUGUCUAUUGGUUUUAGGUUGGGGUGACCACGGAGUACAAUAAAUCCUCCAUGACGUACGGGACUUCCCUCUUAUCCUUGAACCACAUUUCUAAGAAUCAACAAAUUGACGUUUGAUGAUCCAAUAUAUUGAUCAACGGACCAAGUUACCCUGGGGAUAACAGCGCAAUCCAUUUUAAGAGCCCCUAUCGCCAAAUGGGUUUACGACCUCGAUGUUGGAUCAGGGUAUCCUAGUGGUGCAGCCGCUACUAAUGGUUUGUUUGUCAACAAUAAAACCCCCUU
rnacentral:rRNA from 1 species